rnacentral:tRNA from 1 species
GUUGUAGCUCAGUGGUAGAGCACUUGCCUAAUGCAUAGGAGGCCCUGGGUUAAAUUCCCAAUGCUGGACA